UGGGGAAUAUUGCACAAUGGGCGCAAGCCUGAUGCAGCCAUGCCGCGUGUAUGAAGAAGGCCUUCGGGUUGUAAAGUACUUUCAGCGAGGAGGAAGGCGGUAAGGUUAAUAACCUUAUCGAUUGACGUUACUCGCAGAAGAAGCACCGGCUAACUCCGUGCCAGCAGCCGCGGUAAUACGGAGGGUGCAAGCGUUAAUCGGAAUUACUGGGCGUAAAGCGCACGCAGGCGGUCUGUCAAGUCGGAUGUGAAAUCCCCGGGCUCAACCUGGGAACUGCAUUCGAAACUGGCAGGCUAGAGUCUUGUAGAGGGGGGUAGAAUUCCAGGUGUAGCGGUGAAAUGCGUAGAGAUCUGGGGGAAUACCGGUGGCGAAGGCGGCCCCCUGGACAAAGACUGACGCUCAGGUGCGAAAGCGUGGGGAGCAAACA
rnacentral:rRNA from 1 species